rnacentral:rRNA from 1 species
UGACAUCCCAAUGACAUCUCCUUAAUCGGAGAGUUCCCUUCGGGGACAUUGGUGACAGGUGGUGCAUGGUUGUCGUCAGCUCGUGUCGUGAGAUGUUGGGUUAAGUCCCGCAACGAGCGCAACCCUUGUCUUUAGUUGCCAUCAUUAAGGUGGGCAGUUUAGGGAGACGGCCAGGGUUACCCUGGAGGAAGGGGGGGAGGACGUCAAAUCAUCAUGCCCCUUAUGCUUAGGGCUACACACGUGCGACAAUGGGUAGUACAGAGGGUGGCCAAGCCGUAAGGUGGAGCUAAUCCCUUAAAGCUACUCUCAGUUCGGAUUGUAGGCUGAAACUCGCCUACAUGAAGCUGGAGUUACUAGUAAUCGCAGAUCAGAAUGCUGCGGUGAAUGCGUUCCC